rnacentral:other from 1 species
UGUCGCGUGGGCUUCGGCGAUCCUGCCCUCGGAGUUCUACCUACAAUGUUCAACCAGGGAACUGUCUCUGACUGCAGGCGUGCAGGCCCGUCCGGCGGGAAGCCCGAAGCCGUUAUCGUAGUACCCACCUACUCGUUGUAGGGGUUGAACUUAGAAGCCAGGCUCGCCCGCCCGCGCUUUUU